CACGGGGGGGAGCAAGCGUUGUUCGGAAUUACUGGGCGUAAAGGGCGUCUAGGCGGAUAGGUAAGUGGGAUGUGAAAUCCCCUCGGCUCACCCGAGGACCUGCACCCCAAACUGCCUGUCUUGAGUAUGGGAGAGGAUGAGGGAAUUCCUGGUGUAGCGGUGAAAUGCGUAGAUAUCAGGAGGAACACCGGUGGCGAAGGCGGGUUGACUGGGCUGAUACUGACGCUGAUGCGCGAAAGCCAGGGGAGCAAACGGG
rnacentral:rRNA from 1 species